rnacentral:rRNA from 1 species
UGCAGGCUGCAACCCGCCUGCACGAAGCCGGAGUUGCUAGUAAUCGCGAAUCAGAAUGUCGCGGUGAAUGCGUUCCCGGGUCUUGUACACACCGCCCGUCACACCAUGGAAGUUGGGGGUGCCCAAAGCCGGCAAGCAAAUAUGCUGUCUAAGGCAAAACCAAUGACUGGGGUGAAGUCGUAACAAGGUAAC